GGGCCCGCACAAGCGGUGGAGUAUGUGGUUUAAUUCGAUGCAACGCGAAGAACCUUACCAGGGUUUGACAUCCUGCGAAUCUCUUGGAAACGAGAGAGUGCCUUCGGGAACGCAGUGACAGGUGGUGCAUGGCUGUCGUCAGCUCGUGUCGUGAGAUGUUGGGUUAAGUCCUAUAACGAGCGCAACCCCUACCGUUAGUUGCCAGCGAUUCAAGUCGGGGACUCUAACGGGACUGCCGGUGCAAACCGUGAGGAAGGUGGGGACGACGUCAAAUCAUCACGGCCCUUACGUCCUGGGCUACACACGUACUACAAUGCUACGGACAAAGGGCAGCAAGUUCGCGAGGACAAGCAAAUCCCAUAAACCGUGGCUCAGUUCAGAUCGUAGGCUGCAACUCGCCUACGUGAAGGCGGAAUCGCUAGUAAUCGCAGGUC
rnacentral:rRNA from 1 species